AUCAGAAAGAAGAAAGUCAUAUACACCUAGGGCGGCUUGAAGACAGUCAUUGCCUGUGUGUGAUUGUAUGGACUGGCCAUCUGUCCAGAGUGCUGCCUAGGAAACUGGGAUAGGCUCCAGCCCUAUGACUUAGAAGGUCGUAUAAGGAAUACAAAGAGAAUAAUGAUGGGUUAAGCAAUAUAUAACCUUUGUUUAUGACUUAUUAAUUAAAGUUUUUAUAAAGUGUUACCAAAUAAAGUCUCAUUGUAAGAUAUAAAGUUUCAAUUAUGAAAAAUAAAGCAGCAAUUGUGAGAUAGACCCUUGUGGAAAAGAAGUGUAGGCUACAUUUUUGCAUACUUCAUUACUGUGACGACAUCUGCUGUCGGUCUUGGGUAUUGCUGCUUGGUGCCUGUUUCCACAAAUUAGCAGUCUGUUGGAUACACCUGUCAACAGUGCUUCAGGCACUCCUUUAAAAAGCGAUCUCCAGUUGAGCCAGGAGGAACUUUGGGAACUUUGGAACUUUGGCUUUUGGCUUUUGUUUGGUUUUGGACUUUGUUUUGUUUGAUUUGUUUUCUGCAUUUAUGCCUCAGCAUUACAUUACACUGAUGGAUACAGAAACAUUGUGAUUUCCUUUGAUUGAUUUCAUUCUAUUAUUUAAUGUUAUCUUUAUUUAGUAGUAAAUAAACAUUUUCUUGAGCUUAA